GAUCCUGGCUCAGGACGAACGCUGGCGGCGCGCCUAACACAUGCAAGUCGAACGGAGCUGAGAGGAGCUUGCUUUUCUUAGCUUAGUGGCGAACGGGUGAGUAACGCGUGAGUAACCUGCCCUGGAGUGGGGGACAACAGUUGGAAACGACUGCUAAUACCGCAUAAGCCCACGGCCCGGCAUCGGGCUGAGGGAAAAGGAUUUAUUCGCUUCAGGAUGGACUCGCGUCCAAUUAGCUAGUUGGUGAGGUAACGG
rnacentral:rRNA from 1 species